rnacentral:misc_RNA from 1 species
GGAAGGAUCAUUCACGCUUAAAUAUAAAAUCAAUCGGUCAAAACCAAAACAAUUGUUCAUUAUAUUAAACUUAGUUCACAUGGUUUGCGAUGGAUACCUCGGUUCGAGAAACGAAGACGGACGUUGCAAAUUGCGAUAAUAAUGUAAUAACGCAGCACUCUGAAAUUACAUGAAUUUCCUAAUGCGAUAAGCACAACUUUAUGUUGUAGAAAAUUUGCACAAAUUUAUAACACUAACAAAAACACACUCAAAUAUUUUGAGUAUUUCAAAUAUGGUUUAUACAACGAACAUAGAUGUUACUUAACCAAUUUGUGCAGUUUUUCAGAUAACCUGCUGAACUUAAGCAUAUCAUUAAGCAGAGGACAAUAAACUAACAAGGAUUCCUUUAGUAAUGGCGAAUGCAAAAGGAAAAGCCCGUAACCAAGCUGAAAAGCAUUGUGUCAUUUCUUCCAUAAGAUUUUUGUUUGUGACGUGCCUUUGGAAAAAGGCAGCCUUGAGCGUGAAACUCGCCGUUCAUUAGCAAAAUCUCAAGAAGAAUUACAAGGAGUCGCGCUCUUUAGGAUUGGAGUGCAAAAGGUGGUAAAUAUCACCUAAGGCUAAAUAUCAUUUCGAAACCGAUAUCAAACAAGUACCGUGAGGGAAAGGUGAAAAGAACUUUGAAAAGAGAGUUAAAAGUGCUUGAAAUCGUAAACCCGGAACCGAAUUGAAUUUGAAUUUCCGGACCGCGCGAAAUGAAAAAUCAUUUCUAGUUAUUCGGAUCGAGACUAGCAGGGAUUCCUGUACACUGGCUGAACAACUGCUUUUUGCAAAGCUUAUGCCAAACGUCACAUACAAAUCAAUUCGACCCGUCUUGAAACACGGACCAAGGAGUCUAGCAUACCCGCAAGCAGAAGGUAGAUAACACCUUAUGCGAAGUGAAAGCAAAACCACAUUCAAUUUGUGGAGCCGAUAUUUUUUAUUGCGCCAAAGUGUGUGUGCUAGGACCCGAAAGAUGGUGAACUAUGCCAGAGUAGGGUGAAGUCAGAGGAAACUCUGAUGGAGGCCCGUAGCGAUACUGACGUGCAAAUCGUUCGUCAAAAUUUGGUAUAGGGGCGAAAGACUAAUCGAACCAUUUAGUAGCUGGUUUCCUC